GCCUAUAAAACGGCACAUUUCCAUUGCCUGUAAAAUACCCAAAUCAGAAUUAAAAGGACAGCAAGAGUCUUCCAAAUCCAUACAUAUAAUAUACCCAACCUUCAACAAUGGCUGAAGAAUCUGCUAGAGAAAAAACUCAAUGGCCAGAGCUUGUUGGCGUAGACUAUUCUACUGCUGCUACGACAAUAGAAACAGAGAAUUCUCAUGUGAAGGCUAUCAAGUUUCUAGUUGGUAGUCCCAUGUAUCUGAAUUUUGAUCCUCGCCGAGUUCGGGUUGUUUGCGAUACACAAGACAAGGUUGUUGAAAUGCCCUACGUCGGUUAAAGAUUGGGUGAUGUGUAUAAGGUGAAUCAUAUGUAUAAUGUCUAUGUCAUUAUGUCAUUCCAAUAUUGUACUAAUAAGCGGUAUUUCUACUGUUUCAACUCUUGUUUCAAGUGUGUUUAUUUGUAAUAAAUUGUUGAAUAAAUUGUUCCAAUAAACAUCAACAAGGACCUAUCUUUAGAUAUUGCUCA